CCUACGGGUGGCAGCAGUGAGGAAUAUUUGUCAAUGGACGAGAGUCUGAACCAGCCAAGUAGCGUGAAGGCUGACUGCCCUAUGGGUUGUAAACUUCUUUUAUAAAGGAAUAAAACGAGGCACGUGUGCCUUUUUGCAUGUACUUUAUGAAUAAGGAUCGGCGAACUCCGUUCCAGCAGCCGCGGUAAUACGGCGGAUCCGAGCGUUAUCCGGAUUUAUUGGGUUUAAAGGGAGCGUAGAUGGGUUGUUAAGUCAGUUGUGAAAGUUUGCGGCUAAACCGUAAAAUUGCAAUUGAUACUGGCAGUCGUGAGUACAGUUGAGGUAGGCGGAAUUCGUGGUGUAGCGGUGAAAUGCUUAGAUAUCACGAAGAACCCCGAUUGCGAAGGCGACUUUCUGGACUGUAACUGACGCUGAGGCACGAAAGUGUGGGGAGCAAACAGGAUUAGAUACCCCUGUAGUC
rnacentral:rRNA from 1 species